UACGUAGGGGGCAAGCGUUGUCCGGAAUCAUUGGGCGUAAAGCGCGUGUAGGCGGCUUCGUAAGUCCGUUGUGAAAGUCCAGGGCUCAACCCUGGAAUGCCGAUGGAUACUGCUUGACUUGAGUCCGGAAGGGGCGAGUGGAAUUCCUGGUGUAGCGGUGAAAUGCGCAGAUAUCAGGAGGAACACCGGUGGCGAAGGCGGGUCUCUGGGCCGAUACUGACGCUGAGGAGCGAAAGCGUGGGGAGCGAACAGG
rnacentral:rRNA from 1 species